rnacentral:rRNA from 1 species
ACCCAUGUGACAUACCUACUGUUGCUUCGGCGGGAUUGCCCCGGGCGCCUCGUGUGCCCCGGAUCAGGCGCCCGCCUAGGAAACUUAACUCUUGUUUUAUUUUGGAAUCUUCUGAGUAGUUUUUACAAAUAAAUAAAAACUUUCAACAACGGAUCUCUUGGUUCUGGCAUCGAUGAAGAACGCAGCGAAAUGCGAUAAGUAAUGUGAAUUGCAGAAUUCAGUGAAUCAUCGAAUCUUUGAACGCACAUUGCGCCCGCCAGUAUUCUGGCGGGCAUGCCUGUCUGAGCGUCAUUUCAACCCUCAUGCCCCUAGGGCGUGGUGUUGGGGAUCGGCCAAAGCCCGCGAGGGACGGCCGGCCCCUAAAUCUAGUGGCGGACCCGUCGUGGCCUCCUCUGCGAAGUAGUGAUAUUCCGCAUCGGAGAGCGAUGAGCCCCUGCCGUUAAACCCCCAACUUUCCAAGGUUGACCUCAGAUCAGGUAGGAAUACCCGCUGAACUUAAGCAUAUCAAUAAGCGGAGGAA